UGAGUACGAGAUGCUACGGCAUCGAAGCAGUCUAUGUCAUACUUCCAAGAAAAGCUUGCAAUGUCAUAAACAAAUAAUGCCUGUACCAUAACCGACACAGGUGGGUAGGUAGAGUAUACUAAGGGGCGCGAGAUAACUCUCUCUAAGGAACUCGGCAAAAUGACUCCGUAACUUCGGGAGAAGGAGUGCCUUAUUUUUAUAAGGUUGCAAUAACAAGAUCCAAGCAACUGUUUACCAAAAACACAGGUCUCCGCUAAGUCGUAAGACGAUGUAUGGGGGCUGACGCCUGCCCAGUGCCAGAAGGUUAAAGAAGUUGGUUAGCAUUAGCGAAGCUGAUAACUGAAGCCCUGGUGAACGGCGGCCGUAACUAUAACGGUCCUAAGGUAGCGAAAUUCCUUGUCGGGUAAGUUCCGACCCGCACGAAAGGCGUAAUGAUUUGGAUACUGUCUCGGAGAGGGGCUCGGUGAAAUAGACUUGUCUGUGAAGAUGCGGACUACCUGCACCUGGACAGAAAGACCCUAUGAAGCUUUACUGUAACUUGAGAUUGAAAUUGGACUUUAUCUGCGCAGUAUAGGUGGGAGACGUUGAAAAUAUUCUUGCGGGAAUAUUGGAGUCAUCAGUGAGAUACCACUCUUAUAAUGUUAGAUUUCUAACUUUGUAUCAUUAUCUGGUCAAAGAACAGUUUCAGGCGGGCAGUUUGACUGGGGCGGUCGCCUCCCAAACGGUAACGGAGGCGCACAAAGGUUUCCUCUGAACGUGUAGAAAUCGUAUCUAGAGUGUAAAGGCAUAAGGAAGCUUGACUGUGAGACCUACAAGUCGAGCAGGGACGAAAGUCGGUCUUAGUGAUCUGACGGUGCUGAGUGGAAAGGCCGUCACUCAACGGAUAAAAGUUACUCUAAGGAUAACAGGCUGAUCUCCCCCAAGAGUUCACAUCGACGGGGAGGUUUGGCACCUCGAUGUCGGCUCAUCGCAUCCUGGGGCGGUAGUACGUCCCAAGGGUUGGGCUGUUCGCCCAUGAAAGCGGUACGCGAGCUGGGUUCAGAACGUCGUGAGACAGUUCGGUCCAUAUCCGGUGUAGGCGUUAGAAUAUUGAGAGGAGCCUUCUUUAGUACGAGAGGACCGAGAAGGACAUACCUCUGGUGUACCAGUUAUCGUGCCAACGGUAAACGCUGGGUAGCCAUGUAUGGAGAGGAUAACCGCUGAAAGCAUCUAAGUGGGAAGCCCACCUCAAGAUAAG
rnacentral:rRNA from 1 species